GAUGAACGCUGGCGGCGUGCCUAAUACAUGCAAGUCGAGCGAACGGACGAGAAGCUUGCUUCUCUGAUGUUAGCGGCGGACGGGUGAGUAACACGUGGAUAACCUACCUAUAAGACUGGGAUAACUUCGGGAAACCGGAGCUAAUACCGGAUAAUAUUUUGGACCGCAUGGUUCAAAAGUAAAAGACGGUCUUGCUGUCACUUAUAGAUGGAUCCGCGCUGCAUUAGCUAGUUGGUAAGGUAACGGCUUACCAAGGCAACGAUGCAUAGCCGACCUGAGAGGGUGAUCGGCCACACUGGAACUGAGACACGGUCCAGACUCCUACGGGAGGCAGCAGUAGGGAAUCUUCCGCAAUGGGCGAAAGCCUGACGGAGCAACGCCGCGUGAGUGAUGAAGGUCUUCGGAUCGUAAAACUCUGUUAUUAGGGAAGAACAUAUGUGUAAGUAACUGUGCACAUCUUGACGGUACCUAAUCAGAAAGCCACGGCUAACUACGUG
rnacentral:rRNA from 1 species